AGGGCGCCCCGGAUGGGGCCGCAGGCAUCCUGGCGCAAGGCCGUCUGGAGGCCCGGCCCGGCUUUGGGAAGGGCCCGGGCCUCCAGUACUGGGCCUGAAACGGGCCCGCGAGGGCAGCCUCGGGAACUGGCCACGUCAGGGCGGCGCGCCCCAGCCCCAACCCUGUCCCAAGGGUCAGAUUUGAGCAGGCGGCCUGGGCGCGGCCGCGCGGUGAGAAGCGAGGGAGGGAGCGGGCGCAGGAAGCCCAGGGAGGGCUGACUCAUCCUCCAGCCGCCGCGCAAUACCACAGUGCAAGUCAGACAUCUCCGGAAUGGAAUCCUACUUCCAAGCUUGUGGCCCAGAGCUCUUCCUCAGUGAAAUGGGAUAUCUUGCAAGGGAGGGUGCCUAUUUGCAGCCUGCUGUCAUGUAUCAAUCACUUCUCUGCUCAUUUAUUUAUUCCUAUCACAUGUUAUUAGGUCAACUUAAGAUUGUAAUGUGAUUCUAUUGUAAACAAUGCAUUUAACAAUAAUGUUUUCAUGUAUCAGUUAAAAAUAAACACAGAAAUG